CGAAACUCUAGUAGUACAAUUCUUUCACGGCACAUUCCCAGGAGACAAAGAUAUUCAAAACCGCAAUCUUCAGCCUGACUACUUCAUAUAUUAGAGAAGACACCUCCAUAAAAAUGCACUCCAACAUCACUGGAAGGUAUGCAGAGAACUAUGAAGAAGAAAUGGAGGCCAGCUGAGCUAAUCCUUUGUGGUGACGACAGAGAGUCCUGCCCCUGUGAAGAAGGAAUUCCAGCAAACAAGCCAAAGCUGGCAACAGAGAGUUUGCUGCAGUUACCAGAUGGCCAGAUCUUGCACAAACAUCCUGUUGCUGCGGUUUAUUGAUUAUCAACCAUUGCCCAAGGGCACUCUGCCCCGAUUGAGCCAUGUACUCCCUCACCCCCUCCCUUUCCUGAACAGCCGUAUAAGCCACUCCCACAGCCUAGCCUUUGAGCAGAGACCCUCAUUUGGUGCUGCUUCACAUGCAUGCUGCUCUUGCUCAAUAAAACUUCCCUUCUGGCUCUACAGAAACUCUCCUAGUUAUUUCUUUCAUUGACAUUUCUGGCGUCAGAAGUGGGAUCCGAUUGAGAACUCCAUCAGCAGUCUGCCUCCGUCCCAGACACGAGCACAGUACCGGAGGAGCCCAUUGUGCUCUGUCCUCUCCGGGCCAUCAGUGAAGUGAGUCAGAAACUCCAACUUGGAUCUUUGAACUACUGUUUCUUUCAGUUGAGGUCAAAAUCUGUUUUGUUGAGCAAGUAGCCUGAUAAUGCUUUUGUGGAUUCAUUACUGAACUGCCAGCAAAGCUGAAGGAUGUUGAAUCUUGGAUACAUCUGUCACACCUAACGCUCCACCCUCUGCCUGGACAUCUGAGCCUAACAGAGAUCUAACCUUAUGAUUUAAUAAAGUCCAGAAGCCGCUGGCAUCAAGAGCAGACUGCUUUCCCGAGACUCCAGAUGAGGGCUGAAUAGAAGCCGAUGACAUCAGAAGCAGAGAGCUUGCUCAAGAUCCUGGAUGUGGGCUGAGUAUGUAGAGAACUAUGAGGAAG